rnacentral:rRNA from 2 species
AGAGCGGAUGAGAGAGCUUGCUCUUCGAUUCAGCGGCGGACGGGUGAGUAAUACCUAGGAAUCUGCCUGGUAGUGGGGGACAACGUUUCGAAAGGAACGCUAAUACCGCAUACGUCCUACGGGAGAAAGCAGGGGACCUUCGGGCCUUGCGCUAUCAGAUGAGCCUAGGUCGGAUUAGCUAGUUGGUGAGGUAAUGGCUCACCAAGGCGACGAUCCGUAACUGGUCUGAGAGGAUGAUCAGUCACACUGGAACUGAGACACGGUCCAGACUCCUACGGGAGGCAGCAGUGGGGAAUAUUGGACAAUGGGCGAAAGCCUGAUCCAGCCAUGCCGCGUGUGUGAAGAAGGUCUUCGGAUUGUAAAGCACUUUAAGUUGGGAGGAAGGGUACUUACCUAAUACGUGAGUAUUUUGACGUUACCGACAGAAUAAGCACCGGCUAACUCUGUGCCAGCAGCCGCGGUAAUACAGAGGGUGCAAGCGUUAAUCGGAAUUACUGGGCGUAAAGCGCGCGUAGGUGGUUCGUUAAGUUGGAUGUGAAAUCCCCGGGCUCAACCUGGGAACUGCAUCCAAAACUGGCGGCUGUAGGGCAGAGGGUGGUGGAAUUUCCUUUGAAAUGCGU